rnacentral:lncRNA from 1 species
GAUUACCUGUGUAUAAAAAUUGUAGUGGUUCCUUCUGCAACAGUUUCAGAAGGUACAGGAUUGCUUUAACAAGUAGAUCCAUGAGCCCUGUUACUAACAAAAAGGAAGUGUCUCAUGCACUGAGCAAACCACUAGCAGAGAUUUAUACAUUUAUAUAUGUUACUGUCAAGGAUUUUUGGGUUCAAAGCAAAACAAAGAGGGACAUACAGACUCUCAGUUGGACAUACAAGCACAUCUGUACACCAAUUAAGCAAACUGCAUUAUGAGCUGAUACCAUUUGAAAUGGAACCCCUGUGGUCCAGGAAAGCCAGAGGAAAAUGUUUUGAACUAGCAUGUGGACUAUCAGAGAGUUCUGACAGCAGAAUGCAAAAUAAUAUAGUGAAAUUCUUUCACUUUCACCUGUUUCCUCUUGAGGUGAUCAGCAAGAUCUCAUUAACAGGACUUCCCAUACCAUUUUGUAAGUGUUGCUCCAACAGGCUAUGCUGAGGUUUUAAUAGGACUUUCAUCUAAAAAGAGGAAAAAAUGUUGCUGGAAAGAUGAAUUACUAUUCAGUAUAAGCUCUUACUUUUUUCAAUAUGACUAUACUAUAUUGCAAAGUUUAUGUGACAUAUAGAGGUAAAGUCUGUGUGCUUAAUAAUGCUUUAAUAAUAAGAGUAUAUCCCUGUGGUAUAUCCCUGAACAGUUUACUUAAGGGGUGGAAAUACUUCAAUACAGUCUGUGUCGCUAGUAAACACUUACUGGGAAUUUUAAGCAGAUGUGGUUAAAGCACACAACCAAACUGAAGUCCGUGUCAAAAUACGGGUCAAUAAGCUGAAUUUAAGAUGCGGUUUCUCUUUAAAAGACAGCAUGUGUUCAAGGCCAGAACAAGGAUAGAAUUUAGAUGUUCCAAGGUUUUGCAAAUUGUUGCUACAACAUCAUAACCACAGGGUGUAGAAAUUCAAAAAUAAUUACUCUUGUCCUGAAGCUAUUAUAUAUUGGAAUAAAAUUUCAUUAUUUUGGAUAAUGGCA